rnacentral:rRNA from 1 species
AGAGUUUGAUCCUGGCUCAGGAUGAACGCUAGCGGCAAGCUUAACACAUGCAAGUCGAACGGUAACUUUUAGUGCUUGCACUGAAAGACGAGUGGCGGACGGGUGCGUAACGCGUAUGCAAUCUACCUUUUACUAGGGUAUAGCCCAGAGAAAUUUGGAUUAAUCCCCUAUAAUAUCAUGAAAUCGCAUGGUUUUAUGAUUAAAGCUUCGGCGGUAAAAGAUGAGCAUGCGUCCUAUUAGUUUGUAGGUGAGGUAACGGCUCACCUAGACUACGAUAGGUAGGGGCCCUGAGAGGGGGAUCCCCCACACUGGUACUGAGACACGGACCAGACUCCUACGGGAGGCAGCAGUGAGGAAUAUUGGACAAUGGACGAAAGUCUGAUCCAGCUAUGCCGCGUGCAGGAUGACAGCCCUACGGGUUGUAAACUGCUUUUAUACAGGAAGAAACACCCCGACGUGUCGGGGCUUGACGGUACUGUAAGAAUAAGGAUCGGCUAACUCCGUGCCAGCAGCCGCGGUAAUACGGAGGAUCCAAGCGUUAUCCGGAAUUAUUGGGUUUAAAGGGUCCGCAGGCGGUUUUUUAAGUCAGAGGUGAAAUCCUGCAGCUCAACUGUAGAAUUGCCUUUGAAACUGAAAGACUUGAGUUAUUGUGAAGUGGUUAGAAUGUGUGGUGUAGCGGUGAAAUGCAUAGAUAUCACACAGAAUACCAAUUGCGAAGGCAGAUCACUAACAAUUAACUGACGCUCAGGGACGAAAGCGUGGGUAGCGAACAGGAUUAGAUACCCUGGUAGUCCACGCCGUAAACGAUGGAUACUAGCUGUAUGUCUACCUCAGGUAGAUGUGUGGCCAAGCGAAAGUGAUAAGUAUCCCACCUGGGGAGUACGAUCGCAAGAUUGAAACUCAAAGGAAUUGACGGGGGCCCGCACAAGCGGUGGAGCAU